rnacentral:lncRNA from 1 species
GUCGCCUGUCUCCCGCGGACUGGAGACUUUAAUCCGGAGACUCGAGACGCGAGCCGAAACGGUCGCGGAGGUGCGCGCGCGCGCGCGCAAACGAUUGAGCGGCUCGCGCUAGCGACGCCCCGCGAGCGACAACGGUUUUUUUAAACCGUCCACCUCGGUUUGCGAGAGGACUUCUCAACUUGCUGUUGCACUCCUGCAGCCGACGCCUCCGAUACUUUCAAAAAUGAAUCGCAAAGGAAGUGGUUCACGAAGUGACUGGUAUAAAGAUGAGUCCUGGUGGUACCCAAGGCUUGGUGAGAAUGAAGAUGCCUGGGUACCGAGAGAAGGGGAUGUUCAACAAGAGCCAAAAAGGAUAGAGCCACAGUGGCACACUGUCUUCCCUGCCAAGGUGUUCAAAGUCUUGGUUUACUGUAGGACAGUCAUAUUCAGCUGCUGAAAGGCCAUAUAUAUGAUGUUUCUGCUCCAGCCAGCCUACGCCUCAGUUUUGAUAUUUUUGACAAAAUUUUAUAUUUUUCCAUCUAUUAUAUAUUUUGGGAAAAAUGUACUUGUAUAAAUACAGUGGAUUAUUAGCGACUGGUUGUACCAGUUAAACCAUCGGAAAUGGUUGGAAUGAAAUGCAAUGCAAACAUGGCUUAUAAGGAAUUGUCACCCCAGUUUACUGAAACCUCAUAUUUUAAAGUUUGCAAAAAUUUGAAUAAUUACACAUUCUAGAAACUGUAUGUCUGCUAAGGGCAGUAAUCUGAUGUUUCUCAGGUCCUGCUUUUGAACUCUGACUAAAUAAUUACAUACUGCUCAGUUUUUGGCCUGGAAAAUAAAUAAAUAAAAAUAUUUAUACUUGCCUCUUAU